rnacentral:rRNA from 1 species
AGAUUGAACGCUGGCGGCAUGCUUUACACAUGCGAGUCGAACGGCAGCACGGGGGGCAACCCUGGUGGCGAGUGGCGAACGGGUGAGUAAUGCAUCGGAACGUAUCCUUGAGUGGGGGAUAACCAGCCGAAAGGUUGGCUAAUACCGCAUACGCCUACGGGGGAAAGCGGGGGAUCGAAAGACCUCGCGCCGGUGGAUGAGCCGAUGUCCGAUUAGCUGGUUGGUGGGGUAACGGCCCACCAAGGCGACGAUCGGUAGCUGGUCUGAGAGGAUGAUCAGCCACACUGGGACUGAGACACGGCCCAGACUCCUACGGGAGGCAGC